GACGAACGCUGGCGGCGUGCUUAACACAUGCAAGUCGAACGGAAAGGCCCUGCUUUUGUGGGGUGCUCGAGUGGCGAACGGGUGAGUAACACGUGAGUAACCUGCCCUUGACUUUGGGAUAACUUCUGGAAACUGGGGCUAAUACCGGAUAGGAGCUCCUGCUGCACGGUGGGGGUUGGAAAGUUUCGGCGGUUGUGGAUGGAAUCGCGGCUUAUCAGCUUGUUGGUGGGGUAGUGGCUUACCAAGGCUUUGACGGGUAGCCGGCCUGAGAGGGUGACCGGCCACAUUGGGACUGAGAUACGGCCCAGACUCCUACGGGAGGCAGCAGUGGGGAAUAUUGCACAAUGGGCGGAAGCCUGAUGCGGCAACGCCGCGUGCGGGAUGACGGCCUUCGGGUUGUAAACCGCUUUCGCCUGUGACGAAGCGUGAGUGACGGUAAUGAGUAAAGAAGCACCGGCUAACUACGUG
rnacentral:rRNA from 1 species